UUCAUGAUUCACUCUGUCGUUGAGGCGCGGUUCCGUCACACCUAUGUAUUUUGUACAUAGUGCAGUGUAUUUAUAGUGCAAGCCAAGACAAUUACAAACUAAAAUGCUGUGUUGCAAGGGGCGGCAAACAACGAAUUCGCGGUAAGGAUUAAGCCGUGAAGAUGUACUUAUUUGGUAACGACGAAAUCGACAAGGAAACGGCGCGUGGAAAGACCGCCGACAAAAUGGAAAGGGUCCUCAGACGGCCCAGAUGACAACGCCUCACCGGAUUCGACAACCACAGACGAACUCGCCGAAAAACUUAAGGUAAGUUG